rnacentral:RNase_P_RNA from 1 species
CCGGGGAGCCGGGCAGCCGCGUGGCCUUCGGGCCUCGAGGAAAGUCCGGGCUCCACGAAACAAGGGUGGCGGGUAACGCCCGCCGUGGGCAACCCCAGGGAAAGUGCCACAGAGAGCAAACCGCCGAUGGCUGCUUCGGCAGCACAGGCAAGGGUGAAAGGGUGCGGUAAAAGCGCACCGGGGUUCUGGUAACAGCGCCCGCAUGGCAAACCCCACCCGGAGCAAGACCGCAUAGGGGUCUCGCGCCUUUUACAGGCAGGAGUGUUUCGCUCCGAGAGACCCGGGUUGGUUGCUUGAGCGUGGGAGCAAUCCCACGCCGAGAUGAAUGGCUGCCCCCGCGCACGCUGGUCCGCAAGGAAACCGGUCGCGGGACAGAACCCGGCUUACAGGCUCCCCGGCAUU